GAAGAAGAAUCUAAUUAUCAAUGCCGGUUUCCAAGAUUUAUGCACCUCUCAUGUAAUUCUAACAGGUUAUGUUCUACACCAUUCUCUUCUUCUAGCUAUACUUAGUUUUCUAAUUAAUAAAAAGAUAUUUGAUUUUGUGCUUCUCAUAGAAUUCUUCAAAUACUUUUUUUGCAUGAGCACUAUACAUAUGACAUUUUUGUUUUACCUUAUACUAUUUUCAUAUACUUUUUCUGGUCUUUGGUUUAGAUUUUAGUGUCUUUUAAUUUUUCUUAGCAUGAGUCCUUAAAUGAUGAGACUGAAACUUUUCAUACACCGAUUAUCUUUUCGCAUCAUAACUCAUAUAUUUUAUAUUAUAAAGUACAAGUCAUUUGGCCAGUUAUGUUAUGACAUGUGGCAAAUUUAUCAAAAAACUAAUAAAUCAUAAAUUAGUAUAUCGAUAAAAUAAAAGUUUACUGGAAUAAAUUUUAGGGAAAAUUACUAGAUUAACUCAAAUUAUGAGUUUAAUUAAUAGAGUGUCUUAAAAAAUUUAGGGGUUAAAUGAGUUAUCUUCGUGACCAUAAUACCCUUUCUCUCUUUGUUAGAAAUAAAAAAAAGUCAAAAUUACCCUUAAAUAAACUAUAAAAACGUGGGCAAAAAAUAUUAGGAAAAAAAAAUUAUUUGAAAAGUCUGUAGGAAAAGUUGUGACAGAUUUAAUUUCCAUGACAAACUUAUUUGUCGACGAUAGAUUUUUUGCGACAGAUUUUUUUUUCCCACCUACUUACUUGAAAUAGGUUACGACAGAUAUUUUAUUUGUAACAGAUUUUUCCUUCACGACAGACUUAUUUUAUGAUGACACCACAGACUUUUGUAAUUUUGACAGAUUUAUUGUUUCAGUGGCGUCAGACUUAUAUUUUUUUAAAUAAAAAUUUGUCAUAAUGUAGCAGAUUUGUUAAUGAAAAAAUAAUUACUAGUUUCACUCAUUAGUGAUAGCACAUUUAUUUUAUGUUAUGACAGUUAUUUUUUAAAUAACAAAAAUCUGGAGUGUGAUAGCAGAUUUAUUAUUUAAAAAUAUAAAUUGCUAGAAUGAUAUAUACUCGCAACCGAAAUGUUAUAUAUUAUGACAGAUUUUUUUUUAUUACAAUAGAUUUCAGAUAGGUUAUAAAAAAAUCUUUUGUAUGAUGAUAGUUUUAUUGAUGAAAAUAGAAUUUUAAUCUCCAUAAUAAGAUAAUGACAGACGUAUUCUUAAUGCGACAGACUUAUUUAUAUACAAUGGCUCAUGUGUGCCUGUCUCUUCGUUAAUAUAUGAUUAAGUUUUUAUUUAUUUAGAUAUAUAAACGAAAAAAAAAAUAGAAAUUGAAUAAAUAAAUAAAUAAAUAAAUAAAUAAAUAUAUAUAUAUAUAUAUAUAGUUUUUUAUUUCGUUUUAUAUUUUUUUCAAUUUUUUAUUUCGUUUUAUAUUUUUAUUUUCGUUAUAUAUAUAUAUAUAUAUAUAUAUAUAUAUAUAUAUAUAUAGGGAAAUUGUUAAAAGUACCUCUUUUGGUGUGCCCCUUUUCAAAAAUGCCCCUUUUAGAUGUCCAUUUUCAAAAAUGCCCCUUUUUAAAUCUGAAUUUUUUUAUAAAGUUUUAUUAGGUUUAUAAGGUACUUAUGGAUUGUAACUACUACUUGAAGACUCGAUCCAAGUAUUUAUAAGGUUUUAUAAGGUGUUUUUAAAGGUUUUACAAGUUAUUUUAAAGGAUUUUUAAGGUUUUUCAAAGGUUUUACAAGAUAUUUUAAAGGUUUUUAAAGGUAUUUAAAAUAUAUUUAUAAUGUAUUUAUAAAGUAUUUAUAAGAUUUUAGAUACAUAGAAAUGUAGUUUGUGUAUGUUUUAAUAAUAUUACAUACAUAUUUGGGUAAAUCUUAUAUUUUUAAGAGCAUUUUUUAUAAAGUUUUAAAAAAGGGGUAUUUUUGAAAAGUGGCAUUGAAAAAGUGGCAUUUUUGCAAAAGCCCCUAUAUAUAUUAUAAUUGUUUUAAUUUAUACUUUUUUUUUUUAUUUUGUAUUUUUUUCGUUUUCUUUUUUUUCAGUUUUUUUUUUUCAUUUUGUAUUUUUUUCUAAUUUUCUAAUUUAUUUAAUUAUUAUAUGUUAAUUAGUUUAUUUUAAUAAAAUUGAAAAUAAAAUGUGUAUUUGGUCUUUUAACACAAAAAUUGUAUUGUUCUAGUAAACCUCAAUAUUUGGGUGUUAAUCUAGUAUUUUUCCCAAGAUUUGGGUCAAACGAUGUAAAUUUCAGUAAAGUUUAAAGGCAGUUUACAAAAAGUUAAACUUUCCACGAUCACUUUACACUCUUUAAGAAAAUCAAAAUCAAAAUUAGAGCAGAAGUUAUUCCUUCCUCCAUAAUCCCACAAUCUAGACAGCCAUGACAAUCGCCAAAACUAUAUAUACGUUUCAUUGAUCCUUUCUUUUCUUUACAUGGAUCAUCUUUUGUUGAUGUUGGUUUUUUCAAACCAAGUUAAUAAUUAAAUCAUUGGGUGCGAGACAUGUUUUGGAACAUGAGUGAUGUACUAAACACUGAAUUCCAAAGAUUUCUUUGUUGGAGCCAACAAUCUCCGACGAGUUUAUAUGAGGCAUAUGACCACUCUCUGGUAUACUAUAUUUCUUUUAGUCUAUUUAUUGCUAUGUAAUAUUUUAAUUGUUUUGAAAUUUCUAUAUUUCUUACACAGCGUGUACGUAUGUUUUUAAAUUAUAAUAUCUUUUUGUUUUAUAGAUAGCACCACUCAGAAACAAGCAACCUUGAUGGAUAGAUGAGAAAGCAACAAAGUAGAAGACGUGAGCAAAGAAAGCACCAGAGGUAAAACGUUAAAUUAAAGAGACUGAAAAUACUGAAAAAAUUGGAAUUUAGUAGAAGACGAAAUAAUAGAACAUGGAGACACAUUGAGUCUAUGUUGAAUCAACUUCACUGUGGUAAAACUUUUGUGGCUAAGACCUUGAAUAUUAACCUUUUUUUUAAUAGUCUUUGAAUACAUGUAGUAUUUUUAUUUUCUUACAGCCUUAGCCUCUGUAUAUAUAUUCUCUGAAAUGAUAUUGAAG
rnacentral:lncRNA from 1 species